GACGAACGCUGGCGGCGUGCCUAAUACAUGCAAGUGGGACGCAAGGGAACACACUGUGCUUGCACACCGUGUUUUCUUGAGUCGCGAACGGGUGAGUAACGCGUAGGUAACCUGCCUAUUAGCGGGGGAUAACUAUUGGAAACGAUAGCUAAUACCGCAUAAUAUUAAUUAUUGCAUGAUAAUUGAUUGAAAGAUGCAAGCGCAUCACUAGUAGAUGGACCUGCGUUGUAUUAGCUAGUUGGUAAGGUAAGAGCUUACCAAGGCGACGAUACAUAGCCGACCUGAGAGGGUGAUCGGCCACACUGGGACUGAGACACGGCCCAGACUCCUACGGGAGGCAGCAGUAGGGAAUCUUCGGCAAUGGACGAAAGUCUGACCGAGCAACGCCGCGUGAGUGAAGAAGGUUUUCGGAUCGUAAAGCUCUGUUGUAAGUCAAGAAUGUGUGUGAGAGUGGAAAGUUCACACAGUG
rnacentral:rRNA from 1 species